CCUACGGGUGGCAGCAGUGAGGAAUAUUGGUCAAUGGGCGGAAGCCUGAACCAGCCAAGUCGCGUGAGGGAAUAAGGCCCUACGGGUCGUAAACCUCUUUUGCCGGGGAGCAAGGGCCGGGACGCGUCCCGGCCCGGAGAGUACCCUAAGAACAAGCAUCGGCUAACUCCGUGCCAGCAGCCGCGGUAAUACGGGGGAUGCGGGCGUUAUCCGGUGUUGUUGGGUUUAAAGGGUGCGCGGGCGGAAUGUCAAGUCAGCGGUAAAAGUUCGGGGCUAAACCCCGUCGUGCCGUGGAAACUGGCGUUCUUGAGUGAGCGAGAAGUAUGCGGAAUGCGUGGUGUAGCGGUGAAAUGCAUAGAUAUCACGCAGAACUCCGAUGGCGAAGGCAGCAUACCGGCGCUCAACUGACGCUCAUGCACGAAAGCGUGGGUAUCGAACAGGAUUAGAUACCCCAGUAGUC
rnacentral:rRNA from 1 species